rnacentral:rRNA from 1 species
GACGAACGCUGGCGGCGUGCUUAACACAUGCAAGUCGAACGGAAAGGCCCUGCUUUUGUGGGGUGCUCGAGUGGCGAACGGGUGAGUAACACGUGAGUAACCUGCCCUUGACUUUGGGAUAACUUCAGGAAACUGGGGCUAAUACCGGAUAGGAGCUCCUGCUGCAUGGUGGGGGUUGGAAAGUUUCGGCGGUUGGGGAUGGACUCGCGACUUAUCAGCUUGUUGGUGGGGUAGUGGCUUACCAAGGCUUUGACGGGUAGCCGGCCUGAGAGGGUGACCGGCCACAUUGGGACUGAGAUACGGCCCAGACUCCUACGGGAGGCAGCAGUGGGGAAUAUUGCACAAUGGGCGGAAGCCUGAUGCAGCAACGCCGCGUGCGGGAUGACGGCCUUCGGGUUGUAAACCGCUUUCGCAUGUGACGAAGCGUGAGUGACGGUAAUGGGUAAAGAAGCACCGGCUAACUACGUG